GACGAACCGUGCGAACGUUGUUCGGAAUCACUGGGCUUAAAGGGCGCGUAGGCGGGCUGUCAAGUCUGGGGUGAAAUGCCGCGGCUCAACCGUGGAACUGCCUUAGAUACUGACGGCCUCGAGGAAGGUAGGGGCAUGCGGAACUGUAGGUGGAGCGGUGAAAUGCGUUGAUAUCUACAGGAACUCCGGUGGCGAAAGCGGCGUGCUGGACCUUUCCUGACGCUGAGGCGCGAAAGCUAGGGGAGCAAACGGG
rnacentral:rRNA from 1 species